rnacentral:sRNA from 1 species
ACUGUGGCCAGCCCUCCCUCGCAGCAGGCACUGUGUGCUGUCCCCAUGCCCAGCUUCCUCCCACACAGGGAGCGAGGGGGAGUACAUCAAGACCUGGCGGCCACGCUACUUCCUCCUCAAGAAUGAUGGCACCUUCAUUGGCUACAAGGAGCGGCCGCAGGACGUGGACCAACGUGAGGCCCCCCUCAACAACUUCUCUGUGGCGCAGUGCCAGCUGAUGAAGACGGAGCGGCCCCGGCCCAACACCUUCAUCAUCCGCUGCCUGCAGUGGACCACUGUCAUUGAACGCACCUUCCACGUGGAGACUCCUGAGGAGCGGGAGGAGUGGACAACCGCCAUCCAGACGGUGGCCGACGGCCUCAAGAAGCAGGAGGAGGAGGAGAUGGACUUCCGGUCGGGCUCACCCAGUGACAACUCAGGGGCUGAAGAGAUGGAGGUGUCCCUGGCCAAGCCCAAGCACCGCGUGACCAUGAAUGAGUUUGAGUACCUGAAGCUGCUGGGCAAGGGCACUUUUGGGAAGGUGAUCCUGGUGAA